GCCGGCCAGAAAUCCGACCGGACCGGGCUCGGGGGAGCGUGAGUUGCAGUUAAAAGAAGAUGGAUGCACAGUGUUCAGCCAAGGUCAAUGCAAGGAAGAGGAGAAAAGAGGCGCCCGGACCCAACGGGGCAACAGAAGAAGAUGGGGUUCCUUCCAAAGUGCAGCGCUGUGCAGUGGGCUUACGGCAACCAGCUCCUUUUUCUGAUGAAAUUGAAGUUGACUUUAGUAAGCCCUAUGUCAGGGUAACUAUGGAAGAAGCCAGCAGAGGAACUCCUUGUGAGCGACCUGUGAGAGUUUAUGCCGAUGGAAUAUUUGACUUAUUUCACUCUGGUCACGCCCGAGCUCUGAUGCAAGCGAAGAACCUUUUCCCUAAUACGUACCUCAUUGUGGGAGGUUCAACCACCUUUAGAAGACUUUCUUCCAGUUGGGGAAGAUGGUUGCAGUCCUAAGCAGUGGGAGAAGAUGGGAGAGGUCGGUGGCUGAGGAGGUGCUAAGCAAAGAGGACUCCAACACACAAUUUAUGAUGUGGUGAACCAGUUUGCAGUGAUGAGCUCACACACAACUUCAAAGGCUUCACGGUGAUGAACGA
rnacentral:sRNA from 1 species